AAAACAGCCAAAAAGUAAGGCUAUAGCCUUAACUUUUCGUCCGUUUUCAGCCACUUAUGUCAUUUUUCAUAAGUGGGCAAAAAACAGCAAAAAAGUAAGGCUAGAGCCUUCGUUGAGAAGAAUAAAAAACCCAGUUGAAGCAAGUGCAAGCGUGGUGGUCUAGUGGUAAGGAGAAAGUGUUGCAAGUGUGUGAAGCCAGGUUCGAUUCCUGAUUGUGCCACGCGCAUUUUAAUGUCGGGUGCCGUUGUUAAAUAAUUCCACCCGAGAGACGAAAGAGUUAAGUAAAAUAAAAAAGAAGAUAAAGUAAGUGUAGGCGAGAUGGUCUAGUGGUAAAGACGAAGUGUAGCAAGUGCGUGAAGCCAGGUUCGAUUCCUGGUUGUGUCAGGAGCAUUUUAGUGCCUGGUGUCCUCCACCCGAGUGGAGAAAGGGUUAACUAGAAUAAGAAAGGAGUUAAAAUAACUGUGGUCGAGAUGGCCUAGUGGUAAGGGAACGUGCUGCAUGUGGGGGAGGACAGGUUCGAGUCGCGGUUGUGCCAAGAGCAUUUUAGUGUCGGGCGUUUUCCUUAGUUAAUUCCACCCGAGAGGAGAAAGGGUCAAGUAGGAUAAGUAAGGAGUUAACGAAAGUGUGGUCGAGAUGGCCUAGUGGUAAGGGCAACGUGCUGCAUGUGGGGGAGGACAGGUUCGAGUCGCGGUUGUGCCAAGAGCAUUUUAGCGUCGGGCGUUUUCCUUAGUUAAUUCCACCCGAGAGGAGAAAGGGUUAAGUAGGAUAAGUAAGGAG